rnacentral:rRNA from 1 species
UUCCGUAGUAACUGCGGAAGGAUCAUUA